rnacentral:lncRNA from 1 species
AAACCUUGGGACAUCAGCCUGGCCCAGCCUGAAAGCAUCCGCAGUGACCUAGAGAGUUCUGAUGCACAGUCAGACGAUGUGCCAGACAUCACCUCAGAUGAGUGUGGCUCCCCCCGCUCCCAUACUGCAGCCUGCCCCUCGACCCCCAGAGCCCAAGGUGCACCGAGCCCAAGUGCCCAUAUGAACCUCUCUGCCCUAGCCGAGGGACAAACUGUCUUGAAGCCAGAAGGUGGAGAAGCCAGAGUAUGAAGUGGAAUGAAUGCUCCUGUUCUGAGAAGCACACUUAUGCACUUUUGUCUUCCUGGCCAGUGUUUUACUACAAUGAGGAUGGCAAGUCUGGACAACAGCCAGCUUAGAAGAUUCUUAUCUCUUGGGCACUGCAGCCAGACUUCACACAUUUCCCUGCACCUAGGACAGGAAAUGCUGUUAGUGGACUUUGGAUUUCUGGAAGAAUGUUCCCUGAAGGGGGCGUGUACUUGUGUGAAAAAGAGAACUUGUUGGAAAAAGAGGCAGACAGCCUGGAGAUCUCUGAAACGCAAAUUAUCAACUC